rnacentral:rRNA from 1 species
GACGAACGCUGGCGGCGUGCCUAAUACAUGCAAGUGGGACGCAAGAGGACACACUGUGCUUGCACACCGUGUUUUCUUGAGUCGCGAACGGGUGAGUAACGCGUAGGUAACCUGCCUAUUAGCGGGGGAUAACUAUUGGAAACGAUAGCUAAUACCGCAUAAUAUUAAUUAUUGCAUGAUAAUUGAUUGAAAGAUGCAAGCGCAUCACUAGUAGAUGGACCUGCGUUGUAUUAGCUAGUUGGUAAGGUAAGAGCUUACCAAGGCGACGAUACAUAGCCGACCUGAGAGGGUGAUCGGCCACACUGGGACUGAGACACGGCCCAGACUCCUACGGGAGGCAGCAGUAGGGAAUCUUCGGCAAUGGACGAAAGUCUGACCGAGCAACGCCGCGUGAGUGAAGAAGGUUUUCGGAUCGUAAAGCUCUGUUGUAAGUCAAGAACGUGUGUGAGAGGGAAAGUUCACACAG